CGAAAGCCUGACGGAGCAAUACCGCGUGAGGGAGGAAGGCUCUUGGGUUGUAAACCUCUUUUCUCAAGGAAGAAAAAAGUGACGGUACUUGAGGAAUCAGCAUCGGCUAACUCCGUGCCAGCAGCCGCGGUAAGACGGAGGAUGCAAGCGUUAUCCGGAAUUAUUGGGCGUAAAGAGUCCGUAGGUGGUUCAUCAAGUCUGCUGUUAAAGCGUGCAGCUCAACUGCAUAUAGGCAGUGGAAACUGUUGAACUAGAGUAUGGUAGGGGUAGGGGGAAUUCCCAGUGUAGCGGUGAAAUGCGUAGAGAUUGGGAAGAACACCGGUGGCGAAAGCGCCCUACUGGGCCAUAACUGACACUGAGGGACGAAAGCUAGGGUAGCG
rnacentral:rRNA from 1 species